rnacentral:rRNA from 1 species
GACGAACGCUGGCGGCGUGCUUAACACAUGCAAGUCGAGCGAGGCCCCUCCUUCGGGAGGGUGUCCUAGCGGCGAACGGGUGAGUAACACGUGGGCAACCUGCCCUCAGCUCUGGGAUAACUCCGGGAAACCGGGGCUAAUACCGGAUACGACCUCCACGGGCAUCUGCGGAGGUGGAAAGUUUUUCGGCUGAGGAUGGGCCCGCGGCCUAUCAGCUAGUUGGUGGGGUAGUGGCCCACCAAGGCGACGACGGGUAGCCGGCCUGAGAGGGCGACCGGCCACACUGGGACUGAGACACGGCCCAGACUCCUACGGGAGGCAGCAGUGGGGAAUAUUGCGCAAUGGGCGAAAGCCUGACGCAGCGACGCCGCGUGAGGGACGAAGGCCUUCGGGUUGUAAACCUCCUUCAGCAGGGACGAAGCGAAAGUGACGGUACCUGCAGAAGAAGCACCGGCCAACUACGUG